CUGGAAUGAGGCCAGAAGAACUAGAAGCUUUAUUACAAGACGCCCAACAGUCUCCUAUUGAUGCGAAUAGCGGCCAUGGAUCAACACAUUUUCCGAACUUAGAUGUGGGUAACAAUGAAGAUUAAGCAAUGAAGAUUAGGCUGACUAUUAUUGUGAUUUAUUGGCUAAGAUAGAGUGCUAUUUAGAAUCUUUACAUGUAUGGUUGACUAAUGAUUUUUAUUAGAAGAUACUUUUAUUGGCUAAGUGAUAUUAUGGUUUUGAUAUGGCUAUGCUUACUUUAGUUUGAGUUGUAUGAAUUUUUACAGUUAACUUCAUUCUAGUACUUUUGGAUCAAUGUUAUAAAUAUAUUUUGGUUAGAGACAAUUUUUAUUAUAUAAAGAAAUUAUUUAGUAU